rnacentral:rRNA from 1 species
AAUCAACGCUGGCGGCGUGCCUCAGACAUGCAAGUCGAACGAUUAAAGCUCUCUUCGGAGAGUGUAUAGAGUGGCGCACGGGUGAGUACCACGUAAGUAAUCUACCCUCGAGUGGGGAAUAACAACCGGAAACGGUUGCUAAUACCGCAUAAUGCAGCGGCACCGCAAGGUGACAGUUGUUAAAGAUUUAUCGCUUGAGGAGGAGCUUGCGGCAGAUUAGCUAGUUGGUAGGGUAACGGCUUACCAAGGCUACGAUCUGUAACCGGUCUAAGAGGACGGUCGGUCACACUGACACUGAAUAACGGGUCAGACUCCUACGGGAGGCAGCAGUCGGGAAUUUUGGGCAAUGGGCGAAAGCCUGACCCAGCAACGCCGCGUGAAGGAUGAAGUAUUUCGGUAUGUAAACUUCGAAAGAAUAGGAAGAAUUAAUGACGGUACUAUUUAUAAGGUCCGGCUAACUACGUG